rnacentral:lncRNA from 1 species
CACCACGACCAAGUCUAAGCUCCAAUCUUCCCAAUGCUUAGUUACCUGAAAGGGGAAAAAAUUAUAAGGGUGAGAAAAUCUCAAUAAGCAUAUAUGUGCUCAUUAGUUUCUAAUCAUAUAACCUUUGGAAUCAUAGAACUUGCAUAAAGGAGACACGAAACUAUACCGAACUUAGGUGGCAUGAGUUUUACGUGCGUAGCGCUACUAAAACUCCGGUUCGAAACUUAGAACAUACAUAUGGACCCAUAAACAUAUUUCCAAAAGUACAGCAUAACGAGACGUAUAUACUUACAGUUGUGUGGGGAAAAAAUAAAGGCAAUCAAAUAAAUUGGCUUACUUGGUUUCCACUCAAAAGUUUUCUUGAAUAGCAUGAGUACCCUAAAGAUUUUUGUAAUGUAAAAUAAGCUUGUGUGUAAGAUGAGUUGUGAGAUAGGAGAAAAAAUGAGGUGUGAAUUUCUUGAAAAUCGUGCACAUAUUUAUAGUAUACUAAUGAUGCAUGGGAUAAAUCUCAUAAUUUAUUUAAAUAAAUUUAAAUACUUAAAGAUAAUCUUAAUAUCUAACAAAAUUUUUGAUAAUGUUGAAUAAACAUAAUAUUCAACAAAAUUUGUGAUAUUGUUGAAUAAUCAUAAUAUCCAACAUAAUUUGUGAUAAUGUUGAAAAAUUAAAAAUAAUCAUAUUGUCUAAUAGAAUUUGUGAUGAUAUUGAAUAUUUAAAAAUAACCAUAAUAUCUAAAAUUUGGAUAAUGUUGAAUAAUUAAAAAUAAUCAUAAUAUCUAAAAGAAUAUGUGACAAUGUUGAAUAUUAAAAAAUAAUCAUAAUGUCUAAUAGAGUCUAUGAUAAUGUUGAAUAUUUAAAAAUAAUCAUAACAUCUAAUCGAAUUUAUUAAUUUAAACUUAUCACAAUAUCUUAGAGAUUCUAUCACUUUGAGAUUCAAAUAUUUGUGCUUUAAUCCCUAAAAUAAUAGACAUUAAUCAAUUUGGUCGCUAAACUAUACCGUCUACGUGAUAAGGCCCUAAAUUUUAAUAUAAUAACUAAUUUUGAGGUAUGAGGUGUCACAGGUUAUAUUUUUCUUUAACUAAAUCCCAAACUCAUCAAUCCUUUUUGUUCCCUUAAAUUUUCACUAGUUCACUGUUGUCGCAUACUCUCAAAUAACCAGUACAUGACCACAUACACGUCUACCAUUAUUUCUUAUAUUUAAACAUUCCGAUCACCAUACUUAUACACGUCAAUCCAGUCUUUAAUUGAUCCAAUUCCUCACUUGAAUUUCAGUUCUUUCUUUCCACCCUCAUGCGCUGUCAUUUUAUUUUUUUCAUAAAUACUUCUCAGUCACAUAACCUAAUUGCAAAUGCUGAAAAACAGGGUAAGAAACUUGAAUGUGACAGCCUUUUUUUUUCCCCCCUUAUUCUCUAUCUCUUUCCUUGCUCAAAUAAGGAAAUAGAAUAUAACACCAACAUUUUGUUUUUCCUCUUUAAUAAAUAUCAUCCAACCACCAAACUUAUUUCCCACACUAGAACGCCAUGAUCUCGAUAACGCAAUGUGAAUCCAUAUCCUUAUUGAUCUUCAAAUAUCUAUAAAAGUUUUAUGCUAGAAUAACCUUAGCUAAGUUACCUUCAUAUCUAAAAUAAACAUUCUUUAAUCCUAGUCUCGACAAUAAGGUAACUUGUCAUCCCUGAAUUCCUUAUCAUAUUACUUCGACGAGAAUGAAAUUCUCAAUUCAUGAAAUCCAAAAUCACAAUUGCAGAGAUAGUAAUCCCAUAGCAAUACAAAACUCAUAGAACUCAACUCAUAAUCACAGUUUAACAUGUCAUCUCAAUCGAUUUUAACCACAAAAGUCCCAAUUAUGGUCAUGGGAAGAGUAUUUCACUUUGCAAUCUAAAUACAUCAUCCCAAUAUUAUUUUGACGUACCACUAAUUAUAAAUUUAGUGCACUACUAUUCACAAUGCCCUUUCGAAAUCAUAAAACCUUGUUACAUUGGAUAUCUUGAUACUGUAUGAUCUCAACAUUUAAUCAUGCCAAUUUUCUCCCGUUCAUCUUUCCUUAUAGUAGUUGAAGUAUAGACUUAAAUACUUACUUCUCCCUGAAUCAACAAAAGAUGGGCCGCGGUCACAUUAAUUUACUCAAAAUUGCAAAGUAAAACAUAUUUAAUAACACCAUUUUUUGUCAUGAAUCAACAUUCCAUAUGGUUUUUAUUAUUAUUAUUAUUAUUAUUAUUAUUAUUAUUAUUAUUAUUAUUAUUAUUAUUAUUAUUAUUAUUAUUAUUAUUAUGUCAUAAACAAGAUUCCAUAUCAUAUCUCCACCUCUUGAUUUUCUAAUAUAUGCAUCUUCCUCCAUAUACUAAAUAGAUCCCAUUUUCCCACAAUAAUUCUCAUAGUACCUCAAUCAUUUACAUUUACAAAGCAAUCAUGCUUUCAACUCGUAAUGUCACCAACUAUACAUGUAUCAACAUUAGACAAUACUUAUCAUCCAAGACAUCAACAAAACAUUCCCUCUAAUAGUCAUAAAAGAAACUCAAAACACAAUAAAUCUCAAUUAUGUGAUUGUACAUUCCAUUACUGAGAAAAGUUAUACUCUUCGCUUAACUGUCUGUAUGAUAUAUAGUGCUAUUAUUAAUAUAUUAGAGAAAAUAUAACAUGGCGCCAAUAUGACAACUAUAACUCUCCUUACCAUCGGAUAAUUCUCAAUAACCUCAUCAUACUUAUUAUGCUCAAAUUAAUAAAGGUCCUUAUUUCUUAGCUGCCAAAUCCUUGUUAUCAGGGGCAAUAUGAGUUUCAAAUUCCACAUUGGAGCUUGUGAGUUCUGCCAUCAUGCCACGACUAACAAUCUCAAUGACGUGCUAUUUUGAAAAAGAAAUUCAUGAAUUACUCAACCUUAACAAUCAUUGAACCAAGCUCUGAUAUCAAUUGACACAACCUCUCCCGAAUCACCUCAAUGGACUCGACACGUGCCGUGCGUCGAUAGUAGAUGCCAGUUAAAUGUCAGACCCACCACAAGGCAACUUUUACCUCCUUGAUUGAAAAUAUUUUUUAAUAGAAUUUUGGCAGAGUUUUCCCUAAAAUACGAACUAAAAUCACAUGGACAAUAACCAAUUUUCCUCAAAACAAUACCUAUAAUAUAAAUCAGGGUACGUCAUUCCUUCAAAAUACAAACCAUUCAAAUAAAAUGAUGACAAAUCAAUAUUUACUUACUUUACAAUCAACAGUCCUCAAAUAUAUUAAAGAUACCAAAUAUGCAGUGAACUCGUGAUAACCUUUUUUGACAUAAACUACAUAUAACCCAAAAGAAAUAUGUACUUUAUAAUCGGAUAAAGGAUGUCAUACAACUAAUGACGUGUGGUUCAAUUCGGUGGAUCGACAUGCUCCAAUACUACUCAAUUCGAUUGCUAUCUGAUAUAGAAAAAAGUGAAAAGAUGAAUGAGUUUAUUGCUCAGUGAGUGGAUAAUUUUUAAGUAAAUAUAUUUUUCCAUAUAUGCAUAUUUUUUGAAAAUUUUUGCACUACUAAAACUUCUAGAAAUUCAAAAAUCGGGUAACUUUUAAAACCAAACACGAAUGUAUCAUAAAAUUAUUUGUUCUUCAUUCUAGAUAAGCAACUGUAAGGUAUAAUAAAUAUAAAUAAUCUAAUAACAGUAAAUGUAAGUGAGAAUAUCCUUUCACAGUACUUUAAGCAGAAAUCAUUACUGUACAAACUGAAUAAGUUAAUUUUGGUAGUCUGAAAUCUGAUAAUCUGUAUAAUACUGAAAUCACACUAAAAAGGUACCCAAUGAAUAGCCUUACUCAUGUAUGGAGUAAUAUUGAUGUACAAGGCAACGCCAUUUACAUCUGAUAAUCUGAUCAUACGUAUGCAGAGCUGCUCCAAAGGCUAAUCAACCUAGUACACGGUCCAAAGCCUAUGUGUGUACGAGAGUGGAUUCCAAAGACCUCUGAUAAUCUGGUCAUAUACUAUGGAAACACAUUCACAAUAAUGCAGAACUAGUGAAAUCACCAUAACUGAUCAUACACUGUAGAAACACAUUCACACCAGUGUAAACUAGGGUAAAAUCACCUUAGUACUUUCUAAUGGUUUUAAAAAUAACUUUAAUUAUACUGAAAUAUUUAGUUUUCAUAUAAGUUGCUAAUCAAAUGAUUUAAUUGAAUUGAAUUUAACUUUAAAAGAAAUUAUAAAAUCCACUUUAUUCUAAAAAUCAUGCUUAAAAAUCAACUGUAUGAAAUAAUAAAUUUUAAUAUAAUAUAAAUUUAAUAAAUACUAAUUUCUGAAAAAUAAGUUUGUAUCCACCCACCAAGUCAUAGUCGAUCAUGGUUUCAAUCUUCUCGUCGCCUCACUUUCAAAUACCAAGUAUGAUAUCGUGCUCUCACUACAAUAAAUUAUAUCCCUUUACAAGAUGCCUUGAGUAUUUUCCUGCCAUUAGAAAUAAUAAUUUACCAAUAAAAACUUGAUGUAUUCAAUCUCAUAAUUCCAUUUAGGGUCACUAACAACAUAUACUCUUUUACAUAAAUUAUUUUAACACCAAAACCCAAAAUAUUUAACACCUAAUUUGAUUUUCAUACUGAAAAUGUACAAAAUAAGAUGAUUGACAAAACUAGCACUAUAAUUCUAGAAUAUUGAAAACUGGCACCAAUUUCAAAUCUGGCACCGACAAAAAUAGCGCUUUUUUGGGCAGAAUUUCAAAAAUAGCACAUAUACUAUAACAACUCGAAAAUGGCUAGAAAAAUGGAGAAUCUAAUCUCAAAUCCUUAAUUUUAAGUGUUUAGCAUCAUAUAGUCACAAGAAUUUCAAAGAAUAUGCUUUUAUCUCACAAACCCAUUUUCAAAAUUUCCACUUUCUUCAACCUCAAUAUCCAAAUAAACAUUUCUUUACUAUAUUCUUAUUUAUGAUAUCAAAUACAUAUCAAUAAUACAUAAUUUCUGCUGAACUUUGAAUUAAAGAAAAUUUCCCAUAACGCUUAAAAAAUUUAAUUCAAUAUACUUACCAUUCUAAAUCAAAAUAGAAAGUGGAGAAGUUGAGAAUCCUAGCUUAAACCAUCUUCUUCUUCUUCUUCUUCUUCUGCUUCUUCUUCAUUUUUCUCUUUUUCUUCCCUCCUCUUUUCCUCUCGGUUUCUCUCGACCCUUCUUUCGUUUUUUU